rnacentral:rRNA from 1 species
UGGGGAAUUUUGGACAAUGGGCGAAAGCCUGAUCCAGCAAUGCCGCGUGUGUGAAGAAGGCCUUCGGGUUGUAAAGCACUUUUGUCCGGAAAGAAAUCCUUGGCUCUAAUACAGUCGGGGGAUGACGGUACCGGAAGAAUAAGCACCGGCUAACUACGUGCCAGCAGCCGCGGUAAUACGUAGGGUGCAAGCGUUAAUCGGAAUUACUGGGCGUAAAGCGUGCGCAGGCGGUUUGCUAAGACCGAUGUGAAAUCCCCGGGCUCAACCUGGGAACUGCAUUGGUGACUGGGCAGGCUAGAGUAUGGCAGAGGGGGGUAGAAUUCCACGUGUAGCAGUGAAAUGCGUAGAGAUGUGGAGGAAUACCGAUGGCGAAGGCAGCCCCCUGGGCCAAUACUGACGCUCAUGCACGAAAGCGUGGGGAGCAAACAGGAUUAGAUACCCUGGUAGUCCACGCCCUAAACGAUGUCAACUAGUUGUUGGGGAUUCAUUCCUUAGUAACGUAGCUAACGCGUGAAGUUGACCGCCUGGGGAGUACGGUCGCAAGAUU